GAAGAAGGUGCUGUGCACGGGCUCAUUUGACUACGCAUAGUACUGUAUUAGAGACUGAAACGGUUGGAGUUUCUACAUUUGUGUUGUACUGAAGAAACAAAAUCACAUACAUCUUGGAUGGCCUCGGGACCCUUUUGCCAGUAUGAAGCCGAUUUCAACGGUAACUGCAGAAAGCGUCAGCACGCUCAGCUCAUCACUGGAGUAACGUCUGUACAACGGGUGAGAUAAACUCAACGCCUGACUGAAUCAUCCAUUCCCUUUUUGAUCCUACGCCAUACGUUAAACUUGAGGUAAUCUUGCUUUUGCUGUUCUAAAAUAAACACUGCUCUUAGCACACCCCACCCUUACAUGGCACACACGUAUAUGACACACAACACAGGUCUUCUCAGGAGGCUGUGCCUACAG